rnacentral:sRNA from 1 species
UGUGAACUGCAGGACACAUGAACACCGACACGUUGAACGCAUAUUGCACAUCGUACCUCCAGUACGAUGUACACAUUUUUGAGUGCCUAUAUUUAUACAUUCAACUAUACGUGUGCCUCCCUCUCGGGGGUGUGCGCGCACGUAUGCAUAGUGAUGUUUUCCCGCCUUCGGUGCGCGGUAAAACAUUCAAGAUAGUCAGACGCGACGGUGGCCGGCGUGCCAGUCGUCGUCGUGGUUGAUGAGUACAUCCCAAACCGGAGUCUCAGUGGCAGUGAGCUUAUUACCCCCGUGUGUGAGUUGUGCGGUGCGGUGUCGUGGAAUUAGGCGC